GGUCCCUACGGGGGGCAGCAGUGGGGAAUAUUGCACAAUGGGGGAAACCCUGAUGCAGCGACGCCGCGUGAGUGAGGAAGUAUUUCGGUAUGUAAAGCUCCAUCAGCAGGGAAGAAAAUGACGGUACCUGACUAAGAAGCCCCGGCUAACUACGUGCCAGCAGCCGCGGUAAUACGUAGGGGGCAAGCGUUAUCCGGAUUUACUGGGUGUAAAGGGAGCGUAGACGGCGCGGCAAGUCUGAAGUGAAAGGCAGGGGCUUA
rnacentral:rRNA from 1 species